UACGUAGGGUGCAAGCGUUAAUCGGAAUUACUGGGCGUAAAGCGUGCGCAGGCGGUUGUGCAAGACAGAUGUGAAAUCCCCGGGCUUAACCUGGGAACUGCAUUUGUGACUGCACGGCUAGAGUGCGGCAGAGGGGGAUGGAAUUCCGCGUGUAGCAGUGAAAUGCGUAGAUAUGCGGAGGAACACCGAUGGCGAAGGCAAUCCCCUGGGCCUGCACUGACGCUCAUGCACGAAAGCCGUUGGGGAGCAAACAGG
rnacentral:rRNA from 1 species